GUGGGGAAUAUUGGACAAUGGGCGCAAGCCUGAUCCAGCCAUGCCGCGUGAGUGAUGAAGGCCUUAGGGUUGUAAAGCUCUUUCAGUGGGGACGAUAAUGACGGUACCCACAGAAGAAGCCCCGGCUAACUUCGUGCCAGCAGCCGCGGUAAUACGAAGGGGGCUAGCGUUGUUCGGAUUUACUGGGCGUAAAGCGCACGUAGGCGGAUCGUUAAGUCGGGGGUGAAAUCCUGGAGCUCAACUCCAGAACUGCCUUCGAUACUGGCGAUCUUGAGUACGGAAGAAGUGAGUGGAACUCCUAAUGUAGAGGUGGAAUUCGUAGAUAUUAGGAAGAACACCAGUGGCGAAGGCGGCUCACUGGUCCGGUACUGACGCUGAGGUGCGAAAGCGUGGGGAGCAAACAGGAUUAGAUACCCCAGUAGUCC
rnacentral:rRNA from 1 species